AACGCACAUUGCGCCCCUUGGUAUUCUGGGGGGCAUGCCUGUUCGAGCGUCAUUUCAACCCUCAAGCUCAGCUUGGUAUUGAGUCCAUGUCAGUAAUGGCAGGCUCCAAAGUCAGUGGCGGCGCCGCUGGGUCCUGAACGUAGUAAUAUCUCUCGUUACAGGCUCUCAGCGUGCUUCUGCCAAAACCCAAACUUUCUAUGGUUGACCUCGGAUCAGGUAGGGAUACCCGCUAAACUUAA
rnacentral:misc_RNA from 1 species